rnacentral:tRNA from 1 species
AGGAUAAUAGUUUAUAAAUUAAAACAUUUAAUUUGCAUUUAAAAAAACUGAACUAUUUGAGUUAUCUUA